GGGGGAAGUCAGCGGACUGAAGACAUGGGGGGGGGGGGGGGCUGACGCAACGAAUCAGAGAUCAGAUUUAAAGUCAGAGUCAGCGACACGGAGCGGGUCUGAGGGUCCUCAUGUGAACCUCCGCAGAGGACUCAGAAAGAUCUCAAAGUCCACCUGAUGUGGACUACACACCAACACACACUGGAGAACCAGAACCAGAACCAGAACCAGACCUGAGACCAGAGGAGGGGACACAUCAGUCAGCCCCCUCAGUCCCUCUGAGUCUCCCUGUUGGACCAUCACUCUGUGAACGGAUGAAUGAAUGAAUGAGUGAAUGAAUGAGAGUCCGUCUCAGCAGGUCACUCUGUGUCUCUGAACCAGAUCCAAUCAAUCCAGUCCAGACACUCAGGAGGGUCAAACCUCUGAGGACCUGAGAGAGGAGAAAGUGUGUGAGUGUGUGAGUGUGAGUGUGUGUGUGUGUGAGUGUGAGUGUGUGUGUGUGAGUCAGGAGGUGUGAAGGUGUCUUUAAAGUCAUCUACCUCUCUGUCCUGGUGUGACGUCUGAAGGACGGAGGAAGAGAAGAGAGAGAGAAGAGAGAGAGAGAGAGAGAGAGAGAGAGAGAGAGAGAGAGAGGGAGAGAGAGAGAGAGAGAGAGAGAGAGAGGAGAGAGAGAGAGAGAGAGAGAGAGAGAGAGAGACGACUCAGGUCUCAAACAGGAGGAGCGACUCAGAACCAGCGACUCAGAACCAGAGACUUGGAUCCUUUUAAAAAGUUGUUUUUCUGACUCUGACCUCCAACUUCCACCUUCAUCCUGAACAUCUUCAUCUGGAUGGACACAGAUGUUCCUCCUAAAUCUGGAGAUGUUGUCUAAAACUGAGGAUGCAGCAUCUAGGAUUUCCAGUUCUUUGUUAAAGGACAGUUGGACAGUCCAACUGUCCUUUCUAAAAGAGAGAGUUACCCCUGACCUCCACCUUCUUCCUGAUCGUCUACGAAAAGGUCGUAUCCUCCGAUCGUAGCUGAUCGUAACCAUUGAUGGAGACGAACAAGUGAAAGGUUUUUAGACGUCAUUUCACCCCGAUGACACCAUGGAUGAGGAGAUGCUGAUUCUAGAAGUCUAGAAGUAGAUUUCCUCCUCUGGAAG